rnacentral:tRNA from 1 species
GGGGUUAUGGCUCAGUGGUAGAGUGCUUGCCUAGCACACAUGAGGCACUGGGUUCGAUUCUCAGCACCA